rnacentral:rRNA from 1 species
GACAGAGGGUGCAAACGUUGUUCGGAAUUACUGGGCGUAAAGCGCGUGUAGGCGGCCCUGCAAGUCGGAUGUGAAAUCCCACGGCUCAACCGUGGAAGUGCAUUCGAAACUGCAGGGCUAGAGUCCUGGAGAGGAAGGUGGAAUGCUUGGUGUAGAGGUGAAAUUCGUAGAUAUCAAGCGGAACACCGGUGGCGAAGGCGGCCUUCUGGACAGUGACUGACGCUGAGACGCGAAAGCGUGGGGAGCAAGCAGGGAUUAAGAAACC